UUUCGAUCUUUAUUGAGGUCAUCUUCAGGGCUCAAAGUGUUUUUUUUCUGUGUGGAUGUGUCAUUACUGUGUGUUGUAUUGAAACUCAAUCGUGUUGACACAUCUACACAGAAACAAACCCUUUGAGCAUGAUCAUGCAUCAUCAUAAAUAAUAAAGAUCGAAACGUUGGCAUGUCACACUAGACCGAUCUCAUGAUCUUCAAAAAAUAAUCAGUAAUUAUAAUGUCCAAACAUUUAACUUUAGCAUGAACUAAAAUGAUACAAAAGAAUAAAAGAAAUAAAAUGAUUGUCAGCCACAUUUGAUAGACAGAACAUCAAUAUAGUAGUUUAUAUAGAACUAUUUUUGUUAGAAUGUUUUAAUAUGAUGAAUUCCAAUUGUAAUACUUCUUUACUUUGUUUAUUUAUCGAGAAAAAAGCCAACUCAUUCAUUAAAGGUUUCUAUUAUAUUUAUUGAGUAGCUUUAAUAAUGGAUUGAAAAUAUCAUAUAAUUUGUAAGAUUAAAAAAAUAUUGAAAACUUGUAUAUAAGAAACUUUUAUUGCCAAUAUUAUUAAAUAAAGUUUUCAUGGCACAGUGAUGAUUUUCGUUUAUGAACAUCCCAAUGAUUACAAUAAUAAAUUUACUCUUGAACUCUCUAUCUGAGUGCUUUUGAAAACAAAACCCUAAUGACUUAUAAAUGCUGAUUUGGGUGUGUCAACUAUUUUGAAUGGACAUGUUUUGUAUUUCUUAGAAAUAUAAAAUAAAUACAGCUUGUAAAAAAAUCCUUUUUUAACAGUGAUCUUGGACAUGCAAGUUGGUACCACUGAAACUGGGCCAAUUAAUUAACUUUGUACAAGCAUUUGUUGGCUGCCAUCAUUGCCAUCAAGAAUUCUAGACAAAACAAAAUUCACAUAGGUUUUUAAUUUUUUUUUUUUUUAACAUAGAUUUGUAACAUGCAAGCUGAAUGGCGAAAUGAUGAUAUUUGAUAGGGACAUCUGUAAAUUAUUUGAUGAAUUAUCGUGAUCUGAUUGCCAUUUUCUGUGUUAAUGGAAUCAGCAAAUUAAUUUUGAUUUAUCAAGUAAUGAUCGAUCAUUUUGGUGUGACACCUGUUAUUAACAUGCCCAGUAUUGUUUAGAAAUAUAGAAAUAUAUAUCUCAUAACUGGAA